rnacentral:rRNA from 1 species
GGUUCGAUUCUGGCUCAGAUUGAACGCCGGCGGAUGCUUUACACAUGCAAGUCGAACGGCAGCACGUAAUUUCGGUCAGUGGCGAGUGGCGAACGGGUGAGUAAUGUAUAUUUGAACGUGUCAGGUAGCGGGGACAAUCUCGCUUGAAGCACACUGCAUAAUGCCCUUCGGGGGAAAGCGGGGGACUCACCUCGCACUAUUAGAGCGGCCGAUAUCGGAUUAGCUAGCUGGUGGGGUAACGGCUCACCAAGGCGACGAUCCGUAGCUGGUUUGAGAGGACGACCAGCCACACUGGGACUGAGACACGGCCCAGACUUUACGGAGGCAGCAGUGGGGAAUUUUGGACAAUGGGGAAACCCUGAUCCAGCCAUCCCGCGUGUGCGAUGAAGGCCUUCGCUGUGUGCUACUUUUGGCAGGAAAGAAACGGCACGGGAUAAUACCUCGCAGCAACUGACGGUACCUGCAGAAUAAGCACUGGUUAACUACGUGCCAGCAGCCGGUAAUACGUAGGGUGCAAGCGUUAAUCGGAAUUACUGGUGCGCGUGCGCAGGCGGUUCGGAAAGAAAGAUGUGAACCGGAGCUUUCAACUUUGGAACUGCAUUUUUAACUACCGAGCUAGAGUGUGUCAGAGGGAGGUGGAAUUCGCGUAGCAGGAAUGCGUAGAUAUGCGGAGAAACACCGAUGGCGAAGGCAGCCUCCUGGGACAACACUGACGCUCAUGCACGAAAGCGGGAGCAAACAGGAUUAGAUACCCUGGUAGUCCACGCCCCAAACGAUGUCAAUUAGCUGUUGGGGCCUUUCGGGCCUGGUGUUAACGCGUGAAGGACCGCCCGGGGAGUACGGUCGCAAGAUUAAAACUCAAAGGGAAUUGACGGGGACCCGCACAAGCGGUGGAUGAUGUGGAUUAAUUCGAUGCAACGCGAAAAACCUUUACCUACCCUUGACAUGUCUGGAAUCCCGAAGAGAUUGGAGUUCGCAAGAGAACCGAACACAGGUGCUGCAAUAUGGCUGUCGUCAGCUCGCCGAGAUGCUGGGUUAAGUCCUCCGCAACGAGCGCAAACUUCGUCAUUAGUUGCUACGAAAGGGCACUUCUGACGACUGCCGGUGACAAACCGGAGGAAGGUGGGGAUGACGUCAAGUCCUCAUGGCCCUUAUGGGUAGGGCUUCACACGUCAUACAAUGGUCGGGACAGAGGGUCGCCAACCCGCGAGGGAAAGCCAAUCCUGCUUGGAAACCUGAUCGUAGUCCGGAUCGCAGUCUGCAACUCGACUGCGUGAAGCUCGGAAUCGCUAGUAAUCGUGACCACAGAUGAAAGUCGUGUAAAGAACACGGUCCGUCUUGUACACACCGCCCGUCACACCAUGGGAGUGGGUUUUACCAGAAGUAGUUAGCCUAACCGUAAGGAGGGCGAUUACCACGGUAGGAUUCAUGACUGGGGUGAAGUCGUAACAAGGUAG